AAUAACCUCAUUUUUUAUUUUUCGUGUUCAACGUUUGACCAUUCGUCUUAUUUAAAAAAUUUGUAUAUAUACUUAAAAAAUUAGUUAUAUAUAAAAUAUUAUUUAUAUUUUGUCAUCCAGUAACAAUAAAAAUAUUAAUCACAAAAAAGUUUCAAAUAAGACGAAUGAUUAAACGUUGGAUAUUAAAAAACA
rnacentral:pre_miRNA from 1 species